rnacentral:rRNA from 1 species
UACGGAGGAUCCGAGCGUUAUCCGGAUUUAUUGGGUUUAAAGGGAGCGUAGGCGGGUUGUUAAGUCAGUUGUGAAAGUUUGCGGCUCAACCGUAAAAUUGCAGUUGAUACUGGCAUCCUUGAGUACAGUAGAGGUAGGCGGAAUUCGUGGUGUAGCGGUGAAAUGCUUAGAUAUCACGAAGAACUCCGAUUGCGAAGGCAGCCUGCUGGACUGUAACUGACGCUGAUGCUCGAAAGUGUGGGUAUCAAACGGG